rnacentral:tRNA from 1 species
CGGUACGUGGCGAGGUCGCGCUCGUCGAGGUCGCCGGCGCGGACGACGCGGGUCGCCCCCGCCCGUACCGGC